UGAGGGUAGGAGGAGUGAACAUGGCAUUGCAGAGUGCCGGGGAUACCUUGAAUAAACAAUUCAGUCAAGCGACUGACUGCAGGACUCAAGAAAAACUCUAGAAAACCGCACAUGUGGGGAAUAGACGCGGUCAGCCCCAUUCACCUGUCCGUUUUUUUUUUUUUAACAUCUCAAUUGUUCGUAAAGAGAAAUAUCAUAUACGCGUCUCCGACUAUUCCCUGAAUGCAGCAUAAUUUUCAACGGGAUUUUCUUUUUUCACCAUCCGCGCAGAUGCAGUUCAAGGACGCCUGCAGGCAGCACGACCCUCGCUGUGCUUCUGACGCGACUCAAGGUCAUGCACACUCACCCUCUGACAUUCACUCACUACAGACAGUGAGAGAGAGAGAGAGGAAGAGUGUGUGUUACUGAGAGAGUGAGUGGGGGAAGGGAGAGAGCGAGGAUGGGGUUGCAGUAAAAGUCAUCUUCCCCUGUGUGCUCUGAGUAAACAGUUCACUUUGCUCUGUGUGAGCGCAGCCAGGGCCUCAUUUGCUCAGCCAUUUUUACUCAUCUCUCCCAUUUGCCGACAACUUGAGACAUGCUGUUCUCUGGCUGCCUCUUGGUAGGACCGUUUGUCAUGUCAGGGGGGUUUUAUUUGAGUUAAGUAUGAGUUAUCUCAAACUCGGCUCCGAAAUUAAUGCACCUUUAAAUUCUGUGCUGUUUCAAGCCUUUAUAGUUCUUUUAUGUGAUCAGUGCUGAGCACUCAGGAUAUUGAGAUGGCAUACGCUUACAUUCUCUGCUAAACGGAUGCUAUUGUGAUGUACAUACAAUACCACAGAUGAUGUAUGUUGAUAUUUUACCCAAAAUAGAGAUGGGCAAAAUUGCAAUUUUUUCAUAGUGGACUAGUCAGAGUAAAUAUUUGUAUUAAUUAGCAUGUUCACUACAUGCUUUUCUUAAGGGGAUAGUUCACCCAAGAAUGAAAAUUCUGUUAGUAAUUACUCACCCUCAUGUCAGUUCAAACUCACAAGUUAAGAUAUUUUUGAUGAAAUCCAAGAGCUUUCUCACCCUGCAUAGACAGCAACACAACUGACACGUUCAAGGCCCAGAAAGGUAGUAAAGACAUUGUUAAAAUAGUCCAUGUACAUCAGUGGUUCAACCAUAAUGUUAUGAAGCUAUGAGAAUACUUUUUGUGCACGAAAAAAAAAACUUUAUUCAACAAUUUCUUCCCUUCCGUGUCAGACUUUGACGAGCAUUCAUGACAGUAUGAUGCAUGCAUUGAACCAUGUGUUGCUGUCUAUGCA
rnacentral:lncRNA from 1 species